CAUUAUUAACCUUUAUAUCAAAGGAAGGGGCCCUAACUUCUGUUUGCCAAAUCUAGAGAAAUGUAACCUUUCCAUCCUGAGGGCAAAAACCAUUUCAGCUAAUCAUUUAAAAAAUAUAUAUAUAUUCGAAGAUGUCAUGGAUUUCCACUCCAUCAGAAUCACUCUCUUGGCCAGCACCAUGCCAAACAUAAGGGAGAGUUGUUGAUGUUUAGGCCAAGUUAGUGCCUGGUCUGAACAUCCAAACAGUGCUAUUUGCACAUCAAUUUUACAGUCCAUUUCAAAAGCCUGGGAGUAAAGUCCGAAGACACUUUUCCAAAAUUCAGGUACUUCUGCACAGGACCAGAAUAUAUGACCAUGUUCAUUAAGUUUGGCUUUAGUAUAGUGUAAUUUAUGCAUCACUUCAAAUUGUAUGAGCUGUAGUCUUAAACUUAUAGAGCAAGAAUGAACAUGACUCAGUCCCUCCUACCAAGUAGAGGAUGAAAUGUCAGUUCCUAAUUUCCUCUCCCAAGAAUCUUUAAGGUGUGCAGUAGAGACCGAAACGUGAGAAGCAAACAGAUCUAUAAAUUUGGUCACUAAAUGUUUCUGCAUUGGGCACUGCCUCAAAAGCUUGUAUAGACCCUGAUCAAGGGAGACUUCCUCUCACUGAGGAAAAUUGUGUUUGAUAAAAUGACGCACCUGUAAAUAACAAAUAAAGUGUGCGGAUGGUUAAUUAUCGAAAUAUAUAUUAUUUAAUUAGCAGUCAUUCAUUUGCACAUUCCUCAUUGAUUAUCUUUCCUUGUGCUAUCUCAAAUGCAUGCACAUAAAAAAUACACUCUCCAUGCACAACUAUGCAGUAAAAAAAUUAAAAAAAAUAGAAGAGAUAAGUUUCUCAAUGGCAGACAUCACUUUUGGCCACUGCUGUAUGAUCGUUAUUGUUUUGACUCUUGUUGUGUGUUUAAAUGGCUAUUUAUCUUCAGGUUUGUGAUCCUGAUAAAAUAUUCUGAUAAAAGCAUUACUUUACAGCUGAACCUCAAGGUUUAUUCACUUCAGUGUACUUUGAACAUCACCUGUAAAGUGUACGUCAUGUUUCCCGCAGUGUGUACUUUCAGAACUGUACUCUCUUCAUGAUGCAUCUGAACAGACGGGCUGCAGUGUAGUCCAAUACUUCAAUUCAAAAAAGGACACCAAUAUACUAACUUUUCAGCUAUGGAGAAAAAAUAUCCUGGAGUUGGACGCUGUAAAUGUGCAUUCUGGUUUGCUGUUUUUCAUGACAUUUUUGGACUGUUUGUCCUCUUAGCAGGGGUGUUCUGGGACAUCUUUUUCCAUGACUUUUUAAUUUAUGCCGGAGCCGUGAUCAUUUUCUUGAGCUUGAUCUGGUGGGUGUUUUGGUACACGGGGAACAUUGAAGUGCCUCCUGAAGAGCUGGAGGACGACAUUGUUCAGUACAAACGCAAUGCCAAAGGAAUUUCGGGCGUCAUGCGUAAAGUCUCCAGCAGUCUUUCCAAUGGAUUGAGGAACUCGUUCAGGAGAAAUGGACGAAUCAACAAUCAAGCUGAAGGCUCAAACCGCAUGGCUAGAGCAGAUCUACCUGUCACCAUUGCCAUGAGCUCUUAUCUCAGUUCACAACAACCUGAAACCACCAACCAGCUCAACCGUGAUCCUUUAAUGAUAUAACAUACAGAUUCCUGGACUCCUAUUGGCCAGGACAGAGAAUCAAAUAAGACUUAUCUUUUGCAAACUUUGCUCGACAUUGAAUGUCAGGCUCUGAUUUGCAUCUGAAUUCCCACAGUGCUUUGCAUGGAGACCCUACUCUUCACAUCUGUGCCGCCAGUUGACUUGAUUCAUAUAUCUACAGGAUCAUUAGUGGAUAUGUUUAUCUAUAAUCUGCUCAUUUACAUGACCAUAUGUUGUUAUAAUGCAAUAUUAUUUGUUAUAUGGGUUGUUGACAAUGUUGCAUUUUCACUGUCACACAUGACAAAAAAAAAGAAAAUAAUUAGUAUUUUCACCAUUUAAAAUCCAGUAAAUGGUUAAACAUUUCUUUCUAAGAAGGAUCUCGUUAUAAAAUCUGCUGUUAAUACAUUUUUUCUACAAUUGUCAAAACUGUCCUAUUGUGUAAGUGGCUGUCCCAAACAUACAUUACAAUUCUUAUAAAUUAAAAAGAAAAUUGUAAAGUCAUCAAUAAAUUCCUCAGGUCAAAUUUUACAAGGAACUAUUUUCAUAAAUGACAAUUUUUUUCCAUCAAUGUAUUUCUGAAAAACAUUUUUUCACUGAAAACCAUUCGACAUUAAAUGCUCCUUUUAAAUCUGCAAUUCCUCUGAAAAGGACCAGAUCAUGUGAGUGAAGCCCUUGACGAUCACAUGUUGAGUUUUUGUUUCAGAAUUUGUACAUAUUUAACUUGUUUUGAAACCACUGUAAAAUGAAGUUUUAUUGUCUUUUGGUGUGAAUCUCCUAUUUAUUGAACCAUGUCCAACAAGUCAUGGAGAAGAUACAAUUUUCAUAUAAUAUUAUAUUUCAAAAUUAUAUUUCAAAUAAAGUAGACAGCACUGUAUGAAGAUAAGUGUUCAACAAGAAAGAUAAAAUCACUCUCACACUAUUUGUAUAGUAUUGUUUUAAUUAUUUAUUAUAUCACACCAUAGACAUUUUUACAGUAAAAAAGCAUUUUUUUCUUCAAUUUAAAAUUAAAUAAAAUAAAAAAAUAAAAAUAAAUCUUAUUUUAUUGCCUAUUUGUAAAUUACCCGUGUGUGUGUGUGUGUGUGUGUGUGUAAUUAAUGUACAUGAUUUUUCUUCCUCCUGCUGGUUGUGUAUUGUAAUAUUUUACUAUUAUCUCUUUGUAUCUUAUAAGCAGUGCUAAAGAGCUAAUUUGUCUCAUGUAUACAGACUUUUGCUAAAUAAAUAAUUUUUUAAAAUUGA